AAAGUUUUAGUAUAUAUUAGUAUAGUUUAUUGUCAAUAAACAGGUUAGUAACUUUA
rnacentral:tRNA from 1 species